CCUACGGGGUGCUGCAGUGGGGGAUAUUGCACAAUGGGGGGAACCCUGAUGCAGCGACGCCGCGUGGGUGAAGAAGCGCCUCGGCGCGUAAAGCUCUGUCAGCAGGGAAGAAAAUGACGGUACCUGAAGAAGAAGCCCCGGCUAACUACGUGCCAGCAGCCGCGGUAAUACGUAGGGGGCAAGCGUUAUCCGGAUUUACUGGGUGUAAAGGGGGCGCAGACGGCGAUGCAAGCCAGAAGUGAAAGCCCGGGGCCCAACCCCGGGACUGCUCUUGGAACUGCGUGGCUAGAGUGCAGGAGGGGCAGGCGGAAUUCCUGGUGUAGCGGUGAAAUGCGUAGAUAUCAGGAGGAACACCAGUGGCGAAGGCGGCCUGCUGGACUGCAACUGACGUUGAGGCCCGAAAGCGUGGGGAGCAAACAGGAUUAGAUACCCCAGUAGUC
rnacentral:rRNA from 1 species